CCACGCCCCCAGCACGCAGUGCCUGAGGUACAGGACCCCUCACAGGAGACGCCACGCCCCCAGCACUCAGUGCCUGAGGUACAGGACCCCUCACAGGAGACGCCACGCCCCCAGCACGCAGUGCCUGAGGUCUCCCCUCACAGGAGACGCCACGCCCCCAGCACGCAGUGCCUGAGGUACAGGACCCCUCACAGGAGACGCCACGCCC